GUCCCGGUAGCUCAGUAGGAUAGAGCGACAGCCUCCUAAGCUGUAGGUCGUGAGUUCGAUUCUCGCCCGGGACGUCA
rnacentral:tRNA from 1 species